AAGUGUAGUUCAAUGGUAGAAUUCCAGUCUUCCACGCUGGCUGCGGGGGUUCGACUCCCCUCACUU
rnacentral:tRNA from 1 species